rnacentral:rRNA from 1 species
CCUACGGGAGGCAGCAGUGGGGAAUUUUGGACAAUGGGCGCAAGCCUGAUCCAGCCAUGCCGCGUGCGGGAAGAAGGCCUUCGGGUUGUAAACCGCUUUUGGCAGGAACGAAACGGUGCGAGCGAAUAUCUCGCGUUAAUGACGGUACCUGCAGAAUAAGCACCGGCUAACUACGUGCCUGCAGCCGCGGUAAUACGUAGGGUGCAAGCGUUAAUCGGAAUUACUGGGCGUAAAGCGUACGCAGGCGGCUUUGCAAGACAGGUGUGAAAUCCCCGGGCCUAACCUGGGAACUGCAUUUGUGACUGCAUGGCUAGAGUUUGUCAGAGGGGGGUGGAAUUCCACGUGUAGCAGUGAAAUGCGUAGAUAUGUGGAGGAACACCGAUGGCGAAGGCAGCCCCCUGGGAUGUGACUGACGCUCAUGUACGAAAGCGUGGGGAGCAAACAGGAUUAGAUACCCUGGUAGUCCACGCCCUAAACGAUGUCGACUAGUUGUCGGAGGGUAACUCCUUCGGUAACGCAGCUAACGCGUGAAGUCGACCGCCUGGGGAGUACGGUCGCAAGAUUAAAACUCAAAGGAAUUGACGG